UAGACUAUACUUUCAGGGAUCAUUUCUAUAGUUUGUUACUAGAGAAGUUUCUCUGAAGUUGUAGUGUACCCAAGACCACGAGGAGGAGGCAUAGUAUCCCUUCCUGAGCGUGAAGCUGAUCCUGAGUGUUGUGUAUGAUAACUGAACACAACCAUUUCAAUGGUAGGGACAGACUUGUUCAGGGACGGUUGCUUUUUCUCCACUGGU
rfam:Mustela putorius furo unplaced genomic scaffold scaffold00102, whole genome shotgun sequence.